rnacentral:rRNA from 1 species
UACGGGGGGGGCAAGCGUUGUUCGGAAUUACUGGGCGUAAAGGGCUCGUAGGUGGCCAACUAAGUCAUACGUGAAAUCCCUCGGCUUAACCGGGGAACUGCGUCUGAUACUGGAUGGCUUGAGGUUGGGAGAGGGAUGCGGAAUUCCAGGUGUAGCGGUGAAAUGCGUAGAUAUUGGGAAGGAACACCGGUGGCGAAGGCGGGCUC